rnacentral:tmRNA from 1 species
GGGGGCGUAAUGGUCUCGACGGGGGUUUGGAACUUAAAGUAGCGAGUCGUGUUUUACUGAUUCACGUAAAAAUCAGUACUUAAAUAUAAACGCAAACGAUAAUUACGCACUAGCAGCUUAAUUAAUGCUGCUCGUUCUACUAAGAUUACCCGCAAUCUUAAGUAGAACGCCAUUGAAGCGGGGAACUGUUUUUAGGAUGUCUUGACUAAAGAUAGAAUAAUUAAGACUAGUCUUUUUUUAAGUCUGCUGUUAGGCGUUGAAAAAGAUGAUAUAAAAAUUAACAGCUACACUCGUAGAAGCUUUAGGGAAAAAACUUUCGGACAGGGGUUCAACUCCCCUCGUCUCCACCA